CCCUUAACUAUUAAAAGUUUCGUUUUGGCCUCUUAACUUAUUUUUUGGUUUCGUUUGGUCCCUUAACUUAUUUUUUGGUUUCAUUUUGGUCCCUUAACUCUAAUACAUUCAUCCUAACAUAAAGGACCAAAGUGGUUGACGGAGGAAGAGUUAAGGGACCAAAACGAAACCAAAAAGUAAGUUAUGAGACCAAAACGAAACUUUUAAUAAUUAAGGGA
rnacentral:pre_miRNA from 1 species